rnacentral:misc_RNA from 1 species
GAUGAAGAACGUAGUGAAAUGCGAUAAGUAAUGUGAAUUGCAGAAUUUAGUGAAUCAUCGAAUCUUUGAACGCACAUUGCGCCCCCUGGUAUUCCGGGGGGCAUGCCUGUUCGAGCGUCAUUUCACCACUCAAGCCUCGCUUGGUAUUGGGCAACGCGGUCCGCCGCGUGCCUCAAAUCGACCGGCUGGGUCUUCUGUCCCCUAAGCGUUGUGGAAACUAUUCGCUAAAGGGUGCUCGGGAGGCUACGCCGUAAAACAAACCCAUUUCUAAGGUUGACCUCGGAUCAGGUAGGGAUACCCGCUGAACUUAAGCAUAUCAAUAAGCGGAGGA